AACCUCGAGAUGAGAUUUCCCAUUCGUCAGAAGUAAGACCCCUGAGAGACGAUCAGGUAGAUAGGCUAGAAGUGGAAGUGUAGUGAUGCAUGGAGCGGACUAGUACUAAUAGGUCGAGGACUUAACCAAG
rnacentral:rRNA from 1 species